CAGGGGGGCUUUUCUGGGCAUAACACCGGCCGCGGCUGGAGGUUGUGGUGGUGUGUGGCUUCUGCCUAGUCUUCGCCUGCUGAUCUGCUCCCUCCUGGUGUAGGCUGUGUCUCCAUCCCUGGGCAACUGAGUGUUGGGAGCUGCAGUGCUUUGGACGCUCUGCUGCUUUGUCUUAUCACUGUUUGUUCUGGCCGCUCUHCGCUGAGCCUGUUGUGGAUUGGGCAGGCUGGUGGGCGGGGCAUUACUCCUCUGGCCCCCAUAGAAGGGCACUUGGAGAGACGACGACAACUUGUUCCAUCAUUUGAAGUAUUUUCUUUUACCGUUUGUUGAAGUAUUCAUUUGYUUCUGUUGAGUGCUGUGUUUCUUUUGUGUUGCAUGUUCUUUUGUUUUCUUGCUUUAUUUUGUUGCAUUUGCAUGGUUUGCUUGUUUUCUUGGAACAACCUCAUCUUGUCUGUCCCUUCUUGUGUGUUCCCUUUUUUUCUUUGGUUCCGGCGACCAAGUAGUGAGCCCGAUGCCUUGGAUUUUAAAAGAAGUGUUUUAAAAAGAACUUUUAGAUAAUUGUUAAAGUAUUGUACACUGUUAAA